rnacentral:rRNA from 1 species
GACGAACGCUGGCGGCGUGCUUAACACAUGCAAGUCGAACGGACAGGCCCUGCUUUUGUGGGGUGCUCGAGUGGCGAACGGGUGAGUAACACGUGAGUAACCUGCCCCUGACUGUGGGAUAACUUCAGGAAACUGGGGCUAAUACCGGAUAGGAGCUCCUGCUGCAUGGUGGGGGUUGGAAAGUUUCGGCGGUUGGGGAUGGACUCGCGGCUUAUCAGCUUGUUGGUGGGGUAGUGGCUUACCAAGGCUACGACGGGUAGCCGGCCUGAGAGGGGGACCGGCCACAAUGGGCCUGAGAUACGGCCCAGAAUCCUACGGGCGGCAGCAGUGGGGAAUAUUGCAGAAUGGGCGGAAGCCUGAUGCAGCAACGCCCCGUGCGGGAUACCGGCCUUCGGGUUGUAAACCGCUUUCGCCUGUGACGAAGCGUGAGUGACGGUAAUGGGUAAAGAAGCACCGGCUAACUACGUG